rnacentral:rRNA from 1 species
CCCUUAGAUGUUCUGGGCCGCACGCGUGCUACACUGAACGGUUCAAUGGGUAAGGUAGUGCGAAAGCAUGACCUAAUCUCGAAAUCCGUUCGUGCUGGGGAUAGAAGCUUGCAAUUAUCCUUCUUGAACGAGGAAUACCUUGUAAGCGUGAGUCAUCAUCUCACGCUGAAUACGUCCCUGCCCUUUGUACACACCGCCCGUCGCUCCUACCGAUUGAGUGUUCCGGUGAGGCUUUGGGAGAAUGGCCUCAACAUGAGUUUAUCGUGUUUUGCCGUUUGAACUUAGUCAAACCUCAUCACUUAGAGGAAGGAGAAGUCGUAACA